rnacentral:rRNA from 1 species
AGCGAACGCUGGCGGCAGGCCUAACACAUGCAAGUCGAACGAACUCUUCGGAGUUAGUGGCGGACGGGUGAGUAACACGUGGGAACGUGCCUUUAGGUUCGGAAUAACUCAGGGCAACCUGUGCUAAUACCGAAUGUGCUCUUCGGGGGAAAAGUUUAUCGCCUUUAGAGGGGCCCGCAUCUGAUUAGCUAGUUGGUGAGGUAAAGGCUCACCAAGGCGACGAUCAGUAGCUGGUCUGAGAGGAUGAUCAGCCACAUUGGGAUUGAGACACGGCCCAAACUCCUACGGGAGGCAGCAGUGGGGAAUCUUGCGCAAUGGGCGAAAGCCUGACGCAGCCAUGCCGUGUGAAUGAUGAAGGUCUUAGGAUUGUAAAAUUCUUUCACCGGGGACGAUAAUGACGGUACCCGGAGAAGAAGCCCCGGCUAACUUCGUGCCAGCAGCCGCAGUAA